GGAGGAGGAGGGUCAGACCAUCAGUCUCUUUCAGCAGCAAACAUGGACAUUGUAAUAGAUCAGAUCAGAUUCCACUCUGACAUGCUGCUGGAAGAACUGGAUCUGGGUCAUUUGGACUCUGUGACCUGCUGCAUACGUUGUCUGGUCCAUUGUGGGAGGAACCAGACUGAUAGAGCAGAAUCAACCAAGACAACAUGACGCAGCCUGUACUGUCUGUCAGUUGCUAACAAUGAACUAUGCUGUAUAAAGCUGCUCAUGACUGAGGAACCUUGGCUCAUGUCUGGGUCAGCCAAGCUGCAGUCAGCCGGGCCUCUGGACCCAAUUCUCUUCAUUUCCUACUUUUUACAUUAAAGAGUCCAAAUCAACCAAGCUGGCUUUUCUUGUCUCAUUACUGAAGGUUCUGCCACAGCAGACAUUACAUGGCUCGGUUCUUCUUCACUCAGAAGACAACUGUCCAACAUUUGGACUCAUCCAUUUGAAUGGAGCGUCUCUAAAGUUCUGUCCUGUAGUUGUCAUGUUUCAGCCCAGUUUGAACUCAUUCUUUUCAUUUCAUCUUUUUGAAUCAGGCAGGAGGAGGACACCAUCCAGUCUGGUUCUUCAUCUCCAGUUUGAAGAACACUCACAUCAUCAAGGUUUAUUUAGUCCAGCAUCCACACUGAGACUGAAGCUGAUUGAUGAUAUGAGAGACAAUCAAGCAGGUUUUUCAGCAUCUAUCAGCUCUGCUUUCUGGACAAGAUGAGCUGCAGCAGCUUCAUCUGCUCGAAGAUCUUCAUCAAAGAGUCCUGACCUGUCUGAGACUUGAACUAUUAAAGUCCUCUGCUAUGAUAGGAGCAGCAUCCAGGAGACUGUUCUGAUCUUCACUGAGCUCAUCAUGUAGUGCAGUCAAAGCUAGAUCUUUAUCUGCCUGAGGUGGAAUAUAGACAGCUGUGUUAGUUACUGAUGGAAACGUUCUGAUCCAGAAGGAUAGUCAGAGCAGGUCAACUGAUGAACAGAUGCUCCAGAUGUGCUAAAUCAGAAUGGGAAAGUCCUGAUGUUCUCACCAUCAAACCAUCUGUUAUUAGAUAUGACACACACUCCACCACCUGGUGAUGUUCCUGCCUUUACUGUUCUGUCCACCCAGUGCAGGGUAAAACAAUUGGACCGUAUCAUGGUGAGGUCCAGAACCACUAGGGUUCUCCAUGUCUCAGAGAAGCAGACAAGGUUAAAAUCUCUGAUGUUCUGCUGUAACUUUACUCUGGACACAGAUGAUCCAGUUUGAUGUCCAGAAAUUGGGGAACCAACAACCAUCAUCCACUGGAAACUGGAUCAUAGUGUGUUUGUUCAAUGGGUCCGGUUCUGACUCCAGCAGGUUCUCUUGUCUUUGCUUUGUCACCAUCUGUGUCCUCCUGCUUUGUUCUUUGAAGUGAGGUGUAUCUCUGGAGGCCAGCUUGAGUCUACAGACUUUCCAGGAAUUGCCCAGUACUGGAUCUGAUCAUGACGUCAGACCAAAGAUUCCCGUUUACAGCCGGAGCCGGAAAUCAGCAUCCUCGCUCUCCCACGGGUUCUGAGAAGAGAUUCCAGAUCCUGCUGCUGGUUUUCUGACGAACAACAACAACAGAUUUCAAUGAACCUCUUAAUAUUCACCUGUUGUUUCCGGCUGAAAUUUCAGGUCCUUUGUUCAACC